CGGAGGAUCCAAGCGUUAUCCGGAUUUAUUGGGUUUAAAGGUGCGUAGGCGGCCUUGUAAGUCAGGGGUGGAAAGAACGGUAGCUCAACUAUCGCAGUGCCCUUGAUACUGCAGGGCUUGAAUACACUAGAGGUAGGCGGAAUGUGGCAAGUAGCGGUGAAAUGCAUAGAUAUGCCACAGAACACCGAUUGCGAAGGCAGCUUACUAUGGUGCAAUUGACGCUGAGGCACGAAAGCGUGGGGAUCAAACAGGAUU
rnacentral:rRNA from 1 species